rnacentral:rRNA from 1 species
UACGGGGGGAGCAAGCGUUGUUCGGAUUUACUGGGCGUAAAGGGCGCGUAGGCGGCCAGCACAAGUCAGUUGUGAAAUCUCCGAGCUUAACUCGGAAAGGUCAACUGAUACUGUGCGGCUAGAGUGCGGAAAGGGCAACUGGAAUUCUUGGUGUAGCGGUGAAAUGCGUAGAUAUCAAGAGGAACACCUGCGGCGAAGGCGGGUUGCUGGGCCGACACUGACGCUGAGGCGCGAAAGCCAGGGGAGCGAACGGG